GACGGGGGGGGCAAGUGUUCUUCGGAAUGACUGGGCGUAAAGGGUGCGUAGGCGGCUUUGCAAGUUGGGUGUGAAAGCCCUCGGCUCAACCGAGGAAUUGCGCUCAAUACUGCCGAGCUCGAGAGAGACAGAGGUAAGCGGAACUAAUGGUGGAGCGGUGAAAUGCGUUGAUAUCAUUAGGAACACCGGUGGCGAAGGCGGCUUACUGGGUCUUUUCUGACGCUGAGGCACGAAAGCCAGGGGAGCGAACGGG
rnacentral:rRNA from 1 species